CCUCCUUAAAAUGAUCCGAACCCAUCCUUUGCCGAGAAGUGCUGGAAGAUGGGUUCUCACUGCAGGAAGAGCAGAAUCAAAGCGCUGCUCGACAGCGCUGCUCCCCGCAGCGCUCAGGGUGAAUGCUGUGAUUUGCCCGGUGGAGAAAAGGGGCUGGGCCGGGGCGAGGGUCGCGCUGCCCGGCUGGGUGCACUCCCAGGAGCUGGCCAGAGGAGCUCAGCGCUGCUUCCCUCCUGGCAUCGCAGCGAGGGACUACGGCUUGCUUUUGUCAGUCAUGGGAGAUUGCCAAGAAAUGAUACUAAAUAACCAGAAGGGAACUCUAUUUAUUCCCCGUCAGCUUUCUCACAUAGCCUCAUCGCCGCUUUGAUCCAAGGAGCUAUUUCUGGAACAGUUCAGGCUAUUCCAGAGAAAACAAAUUUGUUGCCAAAGAGCGGGGGCUUCUCUGAAAGGAGGUGCGCUGGGGUUUGAAAGGCAUCAAAAGAUGCUGUAGGUCUUUGGUAUAAAUUUAGUUUGCAGUUUAAGCAAGCAGCUGGGAUGUGAAAGAACGUAGAAAGCAGAUACCUUUCUCAGCUGCAGAAAUGGACAGUGCUUGGAGCCCAGCUAGAAGGGGCUCCAACCCAUGCCUUCAGAGAGAUGUCUGCUGCAGUCCCACUCACCGGCUCGAGCAGGGGAUCCGGAGGUGAUCGUGGCAGCACAAAACCCACCUAAGAAACGGGAGAGUUGAAGUUUGCUGCCAAGGGUCUACCUGCCUCUCAGUAUCUGCGCCAGUUCUAGUUUAAGCCUCAGCUCCAGGCUAUCUGCGUGAGCAGCAGCUAAAGAGCAAGUGUAGUGAAAAUAUCGUCCCUCCAAUUAAAAUCAGGCAGUUGCAGUUGUUCCACCCUGCUCCGUUGCCUUUACUUCCCCUUUUUUGUGCGGAAAAACAAUCUUCUCCUCUCUUCCAUGCUGUUGAAACAACUUUUCUCUUUUACUUUCUGGGUGCCAGUGCCUUACUUUCAUUUUGCUGAUUGCCCAUUUAAUGCCUGUUAGUGUCAUCAUGAGAAGGAAGAUAACCUGUAUUAAUGAGGCCCACCAGAUUCAGGACUGCACAAAAAAAAACAAGACGAGGAAAAGAAGGACAGCUUAGAAAAAAUAACGGCAAGUCAAAACGGGCCUGGUUAUGUGCAAAGCCAUGGUCAUCACCCCUCCACCUCCCCCUCCAUGAGAAUACACAAUAAAGAAGCCCAGAAAGAUGACAGUGAUAUUUUUUCGGUAGCAUUUGCAUUUGGCCUGGCUGCAGUGGUUUCAUUUUGUUACUGAUUUGAUUCAGUGGCCUCAAGUGGGCCCAAGGUCUGAUAAUUUUUCCAUUUAAAUACCACUAGAUUUGGUUUUGGCUGGCCCCAUUGGUCUCCCAGUGGACAGCUGUAGGAUUGCAGCAUAUGAAAUGUGGAUAUUUCACCUCCAGGCGGGAUCAUUUCCACAGCCAUCGGGGUUGGUGCACUGUGAGUGCUUUACAGCAGGAACACUGACUUGUCAGAUGAAGAGUCAGGUCCACACUCCCAAAACUUACUUCACUACCGAGUCUUUUUAUACUGCUACCUACAGAUCUGUGUAGUGCAUAGUCACAGGAAAAUUAGAAGUUUAGUCAGGUAACAUGCAGUGAUUUCAGUCCAAUGGCCGGAAGCCGUUCAGGUGCCUUGGAUGCUAAAACAGAGUUAGAACACUGUUGUUAAUGCAGGGGGCUCGCUUACACCUGUAUUGUUUUCACAGAGGGUGAUCAGGGGUGUAAACCAGUGCAGAUAUGGCCCAUUAUAGACAAAGGUAACUUUAAAGUAAUGUCAUUGAAAUAUAUGAUGCUCUGACAUUUGUUCUUUUCAAGGCCUUAACGACAAGAAGCCUGCCAGACCCAGAGAAUAACAAUGUCGACAACGACAGGUGCCCACAAAGAAAUAGCAAGAAGCCUGAGAGGCAAUCCACAAUAUCAUAUGAUUACUCUGAGGAGGAGCUCAUGGCAAGUAUUGAGCGAGAAUACGGCCGCUGAAUCUAAUCCCAUAUGAUGAGAACAUCGAGUACAUUUCUGGAGGCCCAGCUGGAGCAAAACUGUUGCUAACAAAAUAACCCCUCAUGCAGAGAGACAGCAUGGAAGAGGUGCAAAAGGAAAGUAAAGAAUGAGAGGCAACGCGACAUGCUUAGGAAGCUUGGAAGAGCAUUUGAAGAGAGCCUCCUUGCCCAAUUCUCAGUGAGAAUAUGGAGAAUCCUCACCAGCUGCUGAGUCUGAUCAGUGCAGCUGGAAGAGGGACCAUGAUAUCUUAUAAAUCAAUAUUUAAGAGCUCAUUUCUAAAUGGUAUUUACAUAUGAAGAUUUACUAGAAUUUAAGUGUUGAGACAUGGUGCUUUGAGGGAAGACUUUUUGUCUUAGCAGAAAAAAAUGUAGCAGAAUCAUUCAGCUGAGAUCUCCCUUAAGGGGAUGUUGCAUAAAAUUCAUGUUCCUGCCACUUCAAAAAGAUAGGCUGCAUUCACUCCUUUUACCCUGCAGGCCUCAGUUCCAAGUCUGAAUUUGGCACUGUAUCUCUGAAAAUGGUUACCAGUACAGGAAAUAAAAGGGGAGCGAAUCUCUAAUUCAAAAUGUAGGCAGUAUAAUUCAGGAGUUCAAAUCCCACUACGUAGGCAAAUGAGGCUCUGGGGAACCAAGAGGGAGCACAGGAUUUGUACAAAGAGCAGACAAGCCCUAGCUUCCUCCUGCUUACAGCAGCAUCCUGGAGAUGCGCAGCUGCAGAGAGUCAGAGUCCCGACCUCUUCAGGGCAAGAUCCUCACAGAUUUCUUCCUGGCUGGCUCGUUGGCAUGGAUCCACCAGGGAAAACAGGAGGCAUGUCCCAGUGCUGCCCCUCUGCACUUGUUCAUCAUCUGUUUCGAGACAGAGUUGAACACUACGGUAAAGCAGUUGUUUGCAAACCGUUCUUUGUGUUCAGAAUCAUCAUUCCUGCCUUUCCCAUAUAUUUCUUUUCCUUAGCAGAUAACCUAGAAGAAAAAUCACUACAUUUUAUCAUUAGAGGACUGGAAAGUAAAAUGGAAAGUCUGGAACUCCAAAGAAAAUAAUACAUUUUCAGUGCUCACCAAUAGUGAAGCCUGGUAUUUUAAGGUUUUUGCCUUUAUUUUACCUGCAUCUUAAUGUAUUGAGUAGCUGCUUAUUAUCAAAAGUAGAAAAAUACCUUAUUUCUGUCCUCAGAUGAAGCAUAAAACACAUCAGAUGAAGUCUUCACCUAUACUACAUAAAUGCAAGAGGAAACAGCAGGACACAUCUUAAGAUGUUGUAUUUUGACUUCUCUUUUGUAAUUCUUGAUAUCUGUGAAACAGAAAUAAAUGCAACUGUAUUCUAUAUAACCCUUAGGAAAAGCAAUAAAAUGUCAUUUUGAAAAAG